UGGGGAAUUUUGGACAAUGGGCGAAAGCCUGAUCCAGCAAUGCCGCGUGUGUGAAGAAGGCCUUCGGGUUGUAAAGCACUUUUGUUCCGGAAAGAAAUCCUUGGCUCUAAUACAGUCGGGGGAUGACGGUACCGGAAGAAUAAGCACCGGCUAACUACGUGCCAGCAGCCGCGGUAAUACGUAGGGUGCAAGCGUUAAUCGGAAUUACUGGGCGUAAAGCGUGCGCAGGCGGUUUGCUAAGACCGAUGUGAAAUCCCCGGGCUCAACCUGGGAACUGCAUUGGUGACUGGCAGGCUAGAGUAUGGCAGAGGGGGGUAGAAUUCCACGUGUAGCAGUGAAAUGCGUAGAGAUGUGGAGGAAUACCGAUGGCGAAGGCAGCCCCCUGGGCCAAUACUGACGCUCAUGCACGAAAGCGUGGGGAGCAAACAGGAUUAGAUACCCUGGUAGUCCACGCCCUAAACGAUGUCAACUAGUUGUUGGGGAUUCAUUUCCUAGUAACGUAGCUAACGCGUGAAGUUGACCGCCUGGGGAGUACGGUCGCAAGAUUAAAACUCAAAUGAAUUGACGGGGUCAUAGCUGUUUCCU
rnacentral:rRNA from 1 species